rnacentral:lncRNA from 1 species
CCAAGGAUGAAAUUGGCAAGCUCACAAAGAGGCAAUUGUUGCACUUACCACAGAAGAUCAAGACUUCAGUAGUGAUAUAUAUAAAUGAGCAUCCUGUCCCUCGCCUGUCUCAGCCACAUCUUUUAGUACCCAUCAUUCAGUUUGCAUCCCCAUGGAGAUGCAGUUCCUUUGGCGAAAUCACUUUAUUUCAAACAUUUGGACUUCUACAGCUGAUCAGUGCAUCCUUCCUGGGCAUACCAUGUUCUAGAGAGCUCAAGAAAAGCUGCGACAUUAAACUCCAGCCACACAGAUGGAGAAGAUUAAAAUCCCUUCCACAUCCAGACUAG